UACAGAGGGGGCCAGCGUUAUUCGGAAUUAUUGGGCGUAAAGGGCGCGUAGGCGGCUUUGCGUGUCUUUCGUGAAAUCCCUCGGCUCAACUGAGGACGUGCGGAAGAAACUGCAGGGCUGGAGUCCGGGAGAGGAGGGUGGAAUUCCCAGUGUAGCGGUGAAAUGCGUAGAUAUUGGGAGGAACACCGGUAGCGAAGGCGGCACUCUGGGCCGGUACUGACGCUGAGGAGCGAAAGCGUGGGGAGCGAACAGG
rnacentral:rRNA from 1 species